rnacentral:tmRNA from 1 species
GGGGCCGAUCCGGAAAUCGACCGGGCAGGUCAGGUAUGUCGUUGCGCGUCGAGGAGCAUGCCGGCCUCGUAAAAAGCAUGCACAACAAUAAUUGCCAAUAACAGCAAUUACGCUCUCGCUGCCUAAUUUUUAGGUAGCACGUCCCCCGUUUGAACGCCCGGUAGGGCGGGGGCGAAUGCAUCGGGCUUGGUCCGCAAGUGCCGCACGCAGGCGAAGCGGGCGAGAUGAGCUGGGUGCUGGACCCCAUUGGGAAGACUGCCGCUGGCCGUCCCGGGGUCGAGAUUAAAAUAGCGGAGACACGCGUGGACGUGACAUGCUCUGCUGUCUGGCACGGGGGUUCGAAUCCCCCCGGCUCCACUU